rnacentral:rRNA from 1 species
ACUCAAAUGAAUAGACGGGACCCCGCACAAGCAGCGGAGCGUGUGGUUUAAUUCGAUGCUACACGAAGAACCUUACCUGGGAUGGACAUGGAGGUGGUAGGGAGCCGAAAGGCGACCGACUCUUCGGAGAGCCUUCACAGGUGCUGCAUGGCUGUCGUCAGCUCGUGCCGUGAGGUGUCGGGUUAAGUCCCGUAACGAGCGCAACCCCUGCCCUUAGUUACAAGUGUCUAAGGGGACUGCCGGCGACAAGCCGGAGGAAGGUGGGGAUGACGUCAAGUCAGCAUGGCCUUUAUAUCCAGGGCUACACACACGCUACAAUGGGCGGUACAACGGGCAGCGAAGCCGUGAGGCGGAGCGAAUCCUGAAAAGCCGUUCCCAGUUCGGAUUGCAGGCUGCAACCCGCCUGCAUGAAGUUGGAGUUGCUAGUAACCGCGCGUCAGCCAUAGUGCGGUGAAUACGUUCCCGGGGUUUGCACACACCGCCCGU